rnacentral:rRNA from 1 species
AAUGAACGCUGGCGGCGUGCCUAACACAUGCAAGUCGAACGAGAAAGCCCGCAAGGGUGAGUACAGUGGCGCACGGGUGAGUAAUACAUAGGAAUCUGCCUCUGAGUGAAGAAUACCCUAGAGAAAUUUAGGUUAAUACUGCAUAAGCCCAGAAAUGGGGAAAGGUGGCCUCAAGCUACCACUGAGAGAUGAGCCUAUGGCCUAUUAGCUAGUUGGUAGGGUAAAAGCCUACCAAGGCGAGGAUGGGUAGCCGGUCUGAGAGGAUGAUCAGCCACACUGGGACUGAGACACGGCCCAGACUCCUACGGGAGGCAGCAGUGGGGAAUAUUGGACAAUGGGCGCAAGCCUGAUCCAGCAAUGCCGCGUGAGUGAUGAAGGCCUUAGGGUUGUAAAGCUCUUUUACCCGGGAUGAUAAUGACAGUACCGGGAAAAUAAGCCCCGGCUAACUCCGUGCCAGCCGCCGCGGUAA